CUGGCCCUGAGUCAAGGCCAGCAGCUUCCUGAUGCAGUUGGUUUCAAGCAGGAGCCUAAAGAGAUGUCUUUCUAUGGUCUGUUAGAACUUACGCGUGAAAUGGUCAGUUCAUUAGAAAGAAACAGCU
ensembl:snoRNA